CCUAGGAAAUUGCCCUGAUGUGGGGGAUAACCAUUGGAAACGAUGGCUAAUACCGCAUGAUGCCUACGGGCCAAAGAGGGGGACCUUCGGGCCUCUCGCGUCAGGAUAUGCCUAGGUGGGAUUAGCUAGUUGGUGAGGUAAGGGCUCACCAAGGCGACGAUCCCUAGCUGGUCUGAGAGGAUGAUCAGCCACACUGGAACUGAGACACGGUCCAGACUCCUACGGGAGGCAGCAGUGGGGAAUAUUGCACAAUGGGCGCAAGCCUGAUGCAGCCAUGCCGCGUGUAUGAAGAAGGCCUUCGGGUUGUAAAGUACUUUCAGUCGUGAGGAAGGCGGUGUCGUUAAUAGCGGCGUCGUUUGACGUUAGCGACAGAAGAAGCACCGGCUAACUCCGUGCCAGCAGCCGCGGUAAUACGGAGGGUGCGAGCGUUAAUCGGAAUUACUGGGCGUAAAGCGCAUGCAGGUGGUUUGUUAAGUCAGAUGUGAAAGCCCGGGGCUCAACCUCGGAAUAGCAUUUGAAACUGGCAGACUAGAGUACUGUAGAGGGGGGUAGAAUUUCAGGUGUAGCGGUGAAAUGCGUAG
rnacentral:rRNA from 1 species